CCUACGGGGGGCAGCAGUGGGGAAUAUUGCGCAAUGGGCGAAAGCCUGACGCAGCGACGCCGCGUGAGGGAUGAAGGUCUUCGGAUCGUAAACCUCUGUCAGCAUGGAAGAACGGUCACUGUGCUAAUCAGCAGUGAAUUGACGGUACCUGCAAAGGAAGCACCGGCUAACUCCGUGCCAGCAGCCGCGGUAAGACGGAGGGUGCGAGCGUUAAUCGGAAUUACGGGGCGUAAAGCGCUCGUAGGCGGUAUGUCCAGUCCAGGGUGAAAUCCCCGCGCUCAACGUGGGAACUUCCUUUGAAACUGGCAACCUGGUGUGUGUGAGAGGAUAGUGGAAUUCCAGGUGUAGUCGU
rnacentral:rRNA from 1 species